CCUACGGGUGGCAGCAGUGGGGAAUAUUGCACAAUGGGGGAAACCCUGAUGCAGCGACGCCGCGUGAGUGAAGAAGGAUUUCGGUAUGUAAAGCUCUAUCAGCAGGGAAGAAAAUGAUGGUACUUGUUUCAGAAGCCCUGGAUAACUCCGGGCCAGCAGCCGCGGGAAUACGGCGGGGGCAAGCGUUAUCCGGAUUUACUGGGUGUAAAGGGAGCGUAGACGGUGAGGCAAGUCAGAUGUGAAAGCCCGGGGCUCAACUCCGGAACUGCAUUUGAAACUGUGUGACUGGAGUGCAGUAGAGGUAGGCGGAAUGCCUGGUGUAGCGGUGAAAUGCGUAGAUAUCAGGAGGAACACCGGUGGCGAAGGCGGCUUACUGGACUGUAACUGACGUUGAGGCUCGAAAGCGUGGGGAGCAAACAGGAUUAGAUACCCUGGUAGUC
rnacentral:rRNA from 1 species